rnacentral:misc_RNA from 1 species
GAUGAAGAACGUAGCGAAAUGCGAUAAGUAAUGUGAAUUGCAGAAUUCAGUGAAUCAUCGAAUCUUUGAACGCACAUUGCGCCCGCCAGUAUUCUGGCGGGCAUGCCUGUUCGAGCGUCAUUUCAACCCUCAGGCCCCCAGUGCCUGGCGUUGGGGAUCGGCGCGGCGCCCUCCGGGGCGCUGCCGGCCCCGAAAUUCAGUGGCGGUCUCGCUGUAGCCCUCCUCCGCGUAGUAGCACAACCUCGCGGCCUGGAGCUCGGCGGUGGCCAUGCCGUAAAACACCCCACUUCUGAAAGUUGACCUCGGGUCAGGUAGGAAUACCCGCUGAACUUAAGCAUAUCAAUAAGCGGAGGA